AGCCCGCGCCCCCUCGCCUCGCCGCGCCUCGCCGCGCCGCGCUCGCUCCGACCGGUUUCCAGGCGCCCCGCAGUCUGCCUUUCACCGGGAGGGAGGAGCCUUGAAACCGACGCCGAACUUUCCGGCGAGGCAAGAGGAAAAGAACCCCACAAAUCCUUGGCAAAAAUGAAGCUAUCUAAAUUUUUUCAUUUUGGAAAGAAAGAGCAGAAAGCAGAUGCACUAUUUUCAUGUUUUCUGUGACCUGGGGGAUUACAGAUGAGACAGCAGAGGUCUGCAGUUCAAGUGGGUCUCUUUUGGCAUCUCUCUCUUCAGUGCUGGCAGUCCAUGUCCUCACGAUGCACAGACAAGGGUGCUAGUAGAAGGAUCGGUACAGUGUGAAUGCAGUGAAAUGAAGAAGAAAUGUAGAUGAU
rnacentral:lncRNA from 1 species